rnacentral:rRNA from 1 species
UACGUAGGGGGCAAGCGUUGUCCGGAAUCAUUGGGCGUAAAGCGCGCGCAGGCGGCCUUUUAAGUCUGAUGUGAAAGCCCCCGGCUCAACCGGGGAGGGUCAUUGGAAACUGGAAGGCUUGAGUGCAGAAGAGAAGAGCGGAAUUCCACGUGUAGCGGUGAAAUGCGUAGAGAUGUGGAGGAACACCAGUGGCGAAGGCGGCUCUUUGGUCUGUAACUGACGCUGAGGCGCGAAAGCGUGGGGAGCAAACAGG